GACGUAGGGCGCGAGCGUUGUCCGGAUUGAUUGGGCGUAAAGAGCUCGUAGGCGGCUCGUUGCGUCGGCUGUGAAAACCCGCAGCUCAACUGUGGGCCUGCAGCCGAUACGGGCGGGCUGGAGUUCGGUAGGGGAGACUGGGAUUCCUGGUGUAGCGGUGAAAUGCGCAGAUAUCAAGAGGAAUACCUGAGGCGAAGGCGGGUUGCUAGGCUGACACUGACGCUGAGGCGCGAAAGCCAGGGGAGCAAACGGG
rnacentral:rRNA from 1 species